rnacentral:rRNA from 1 species
CCCAGGGAAACUUGGAUUAAUACCCCAUAUUCGCAAAUGACCGGCAUCGGUUGUUGCCAAAGUUCCGACGGUAAAGGAUGGGUGUGCGGUUGAUUAGGGUAGUUGGCGGGGUAACGGCCCACCAAGCCUACGAUCAAUAGCUGAUGUGAGAGCAUGAUCAGCCACACGGGCACUGAGACACGGGCCCGACUCCUACGGGAGGCAGCAGUAAGGAAUAUUGGGCAAUGGACGCAAGUCUGACCCAGCCAUGCCGCGUGAAGGAUGAAGGCCCUCUGGGUUGUAAACUUCUUUUAUCUGGGGCGAAAGGCGGUUAUUCUUAGCCGUUUGACAGUACCAGAGGAAUAAGCACCGGCUAACUCCGUG